UUGGAGGGCAAGUCUGGUGCCAGCAGCCGCGGUAAUUCCAGCUCCAAUAGCGUAUAUUAAAGUUGUUGCAGUUAAAAAGCUCGUAGUUGAAUUUCGGGAUCAGUACGUUGGUCGUGCCUUAGGUACGUACUGGUGUUACUGGUUCCUACCUUCUGACGAAUCAUCAUGUCAUUCAUUUGGUGUGGCGGGGAAUCAGGACUGUUACUUUGAAAAAAUUAGAGUGUUUAAAGCAGGCUCGCGCUUGAAUACAUUAGCAUGGAAUAAUGAAAUAGGACGUUGAUCCUAUUUUGUUGGUUUCUAGGAUUGACGUAAUGAUUAAUAGGGAUAGUUGGGGGCAUUAGUAUUCAAUUGUCAGAGGUGAAAUUCUUGGAUUUAUUGAAGACUAACUACUGCGAAAGCAUUUGCCAAGGAUGUUUUCAUUAAUCAAGAACGAAAGUUAGGGGAUCGAAGACGAUCAGAUACCGUCGUAGUCUUAACCAUAAACUAUGCCGACUAGGGAUCGGAUGAUGUUAAUUUUUUAAUGACUCAUUCGGCGCCUUACGGGAAAC
rnacentral:rRNA from 1 species